UCUAAACCAUUUAAUAUGUUGACAUCCAAUGGUCAUAGUUAUAAGUUGCUUAAUAACCUAUCCGAAACCCAAAAGGGAUAUUAGAAAUUGUGUAGAAUUAGAAGAGUUUUAACUCCAUAUAUAAAUAAGGAAUGCCAGGCAGCCGUCCAAAUAGAAGUUGUUUUCUGAAACACUUGUGAAUUAACCUUCAAACCCCCCACAGGAUGAUGGAACUCGUGGAGGAAUUGAUCAUAGAGAUACUUAUAAGACUUCUUCGUUUCAGAUGUGUUUCAAAAUCAUGGUGUGCUUUGAUUGACGGCCAAAGUUUCAUCGCCUUACAUCUACAACACUGCAUCAAGACUAAUAGUUGCAAUUGUUAUUUUCUCCCGUAACAGAAUUCCUUCUUGAAGAAUAAGCUCUUUACAGAAUCUGAUAAGGUGUACACAUGUACCGCGAAAUAGGAAAUUGUGGUUUCACGGUUCCGGUGCAGAACAAAUGUUCCAGUUUGAAGCACCAGUGUUCGACCACCAAAGUGGUUUCCGUUUCAACAUUUACUACUAAAGUCUCAGAACCAGCUUUUAUAGAUGAUUUAAUCAAAAAGCAAGUUUCUUACACUUCACUAAUUCUUGAUAUUAUUAUAAAUUUGUAAGUUGUAUGAUUUUAAAGUGAUAUAUAUAUAUAUAUAUCUAUCUAUCU